GCAUAAGUUUGUGGCUUUGAUAAAUAUUUGGAUCUCCUUAUAUAAAAGAAAGAUCAAGGGGACAUAAUAGUUCCAAGAUCAGAUGCAUCAGGAAUCUUUUCUUUAAGUUCAUUUUCUAGGGUACUCUAAUGGUGAAGUAGGUGAACUUAUUUAUAAUAUGCUGAGAAAUAUCUAACUCACUGAAAGCAUGAACUUUGAUGGAGAUUGCCAUGCAUUUCAGGAUUAUUCACUAAAAAAUGUCUGGUUUAAAGCAUGAUGGUAGCUGCUCC
rnacentral:lncRNA from 1 species